UUUUCCACGGAGAGUUUGAUCCUGGCUCAGGAUGAACGCUGGCGGCGUGCUUAACACAUGC
rnacentral:rRNA from 1 species